rnacentral:rRNA from 1 species
CCUACGGGAGGCAGCCGUGAGGAAUAUUGGUCAAUGGGCGUAAGCCUGAACCAGCCAAGUCGCGUGAGGGAUGAAGGUUCUAUGGAUCGUACACCUCUUUUAUAAGGGAAUAACGUGCGGGACGUGUCCCGUUUUGUAUGUACCUUAUGAAUCAGGAUCGGCUAACUCCGUGCCAGCAGCCGCGGUAAUACGGAGGAUCCGAGCGUUAUCCGGAUUUAUUGGGUUUAAAGGGUGCGUAGGCGGCCUUUUAAGUCAGAGGGGAAAGUCUGUGGCUCAACCAUAGAAUGUCCGUUGAAACUGGGGGGCUUGAGUAUGUUAGGAGCAGGCGGAAUGCGUGGUGUAGCGGUGAAAUGCUUAGAUAUCACGCAGAACCCCGAGUGCGAAGGCAGACUGCCAAGCCAUGACUGACGCUGAUGCACGAAAGCGUGGGGAUCAAACAGGAUUAGAUACCCUGGUAGUC